UUGACUGUUCCCAUACACAAAAUGCUUUAAAUACAUCCUUAAAUUCAACAUUAUAGUGACCCAUGGCAAUCCUGAUAGAUAUUUUUUUUUUUUACCUCGGACACCUCUUUUUCAAGGAAUCUUACUUAUUAUAUUCCAAAAAGAUAUCAAUAACAUGUGCUGGCACUUUCAAUCGUGUUGAAUUUAAGAUAUUGUACGAUAAUGUGAUGUUAAUUCACUUUUAAUUCAUUUUCAUUUUAACUACUCCCCACUCAUUUGAGGCUCAGGAAGAUGAGUCACACCUUGCUUUUCAGGAUUCAUUAAAUCAUUGCUGUUAUAAUAGUUCACAGUCGUUAGAUAACUAAGGAAUUUAAACAGAUCAAUCAACAAAAUAAAUCAAUCCACUGAUAUUAAUAGGAUCCCCUUUGCACCCUCUGACUUUUUGACAAUGGUUUCAUUCCAC